rnacentral:rRNA from 1 species
UACAGAGGGGGCAAGCGUUAUUCGGAAUUAUUGGGCGUAAAGGGCGCGUAGGCGGCUUUGCAAGUGACGGGUGAAAUCCCACGGCUUAACCGUGGAACUGCCUGUCAGACUGCAUGGCUUGAGACCAGGAGAGGUGAGUGGAAUUCCCAGUGUAGCGGUGAAAUGCGUAGAUAUCUGGAGGAACACCGGUGGCGAAGGCGACAUCCUGGACCGGUAUUGACGCUGAGGCGCGAAAGCCAGGGGAGCAAACGGG